GAAUAUUGCACAAUGGAGGAAACUCUGAUGCAGCGACGCCGCGUGAGUGAAGAAGGUCUUCGGAUCGUAAAACUCUGUCCUUGGUGAAGAUAAUGACGGUAGCCAAGGAGGCAGCCCCGGCUAACUACGUGCCAGCAGCCGCGGUAAUACGUAGGGGGCUAGCGUUGUCCGGAUUUACUGGGCGUAAAGGGUGAGUAGGCGGUUAUGUAUGUCAGAUGUAAAAGGCGUGGGCUUAACUUACGUUAGCAUUUGAAACUGCAUAACUUGAGUGCGGGAGAGGUAAGUGGAAUUCCUAGUGUAGCGGUGAAAUGCGUAGAUAUUAGGAGGAACACCAGUGGCGAAGGCGACUUACUGGACCGUAACUGACGCUGAGUCACGAAAGCGUGGGUAGCAAACAG
rnacentral:rRNA from 1 species